rnacentral:rRNA from 1 species
UACGUAGGGUGCAAGCGUUUGUCCGGAAUUAUUGGGCGUAAAGAGCUCGUAGGCGGUUCGUCACGUCGGCUGUGAAAUCCCGAGGCUCAACCUCGGGUCUGCAGUCGAUACGGGCGGACUUGAGUACUGCAGGGGAGACUGGAAUUCCUGGUGUAGCGGUGAAAUGCGCAGAUAUCAGGAGGAACACCGGUGGCGAAGGCGGGUCUCUGGGCAGUAACUGACGCUGAGGUGCGAAAGCGUGGGGAGCAAACAGG